rnacentral:rRNA from 1 species
GAGUCUGGGAUAACUUUCCGAAAGGGGAGCUAAUACUGGAUAGUCCCGAGAGGUCAUAGGAUUUUUCGGGUAAAGAUUUAUUGCUCGGAGAUGAGCCCGCGCCCGAUUAGCUAGUUGGUGAGGUAAUGGCUCACCUUGGCGACGAUCGGUAGCCGGCCUGAGAGGGUGUUCGGCCACAAUGGAACUGAGACACGGUCCAUACUCCUACGGGAGGCAGCAGUUAAGAAUCUUGCUCAAUGGGGGGAACCCUGAAGCAGC